rnacentral:rRNA from 1 species
AUUGAACGCUGGCGGCAGGCCUAACACAUGCAAGUCGAGCGGAGCGGCGGACGGGUGAGUAAUGCCUAGGAAUCUGCCUGGUAGUGGGGGAUAACGUCCGGCAACGGGCGCUAAUUCCGCAUACUUUCAGAUCAGCCUAGGUCGGAUUAGCUAGUUGGUGGGGUAAAGGCCUACCAUGGCUACGAUCCGGAACUGGUCUGGGAGGAUGAUCAGUCACACGGAAACUGAGGCACGGACCAAACUCCUACGGGAGGCAGCGGUGGGGAAUAGUGGACAAUGGGCAAAAGCCUGAUCCGGCCAUGCCGCGUGUGUGAGGAGGGUCUGCGGAUUGUAAAGCACUUUAAGUUGGGAGGCGUUACCAGCAGAAUAAGCACCGGCUAACUUCGUGCCAGCAGCCGCGGUAAUUC